rnacentral:lncRNA from 1 species
AUCAAGUGAACCCAGAUGUCAGAUAUAAACUUCACUGGGACGGUGGAAGCCAAGAAGAUGAUCCAGACACUUGGGAGCAGACUCUGUUGCUCUUCCUCUUUCUCCACUACUCAGACCAGUUUCAAGAUAAGCCAUUUUAUGAUUUCUGUAUGUAUAAAAUCGCUUGACUGUUUUCUAGGGUAACAUCCCAGCCCAAAUAUUGGGCUUGUCUUCCCCUAGAGGCUGGAAACAAAAACUGCAGUGUUGUAUAUGAUUAGUUCCUAGAGCCCCCAACCAAGAUCAGGGCCCCUAUUGUGCCAAGAGCUGCACAGACCCCGACUGAGAUCAGUGUCCCAGCGUGCCGGGUGCUGCACAGACCCCACCGAGAUGAGGGUUCCUUGCGUGGCAGGCACUGCACCAGCUCCAAAGGAGGUGGGGGUCCCCAGCAUGCUGGGUGCUGUACAGACCCCAGUGCAGUGCUACGGGGCACUAUGCUCCUGGGAACAUGAGAGAGCCCUGUUGCUGUUGCAGGGUUUGUGCAGCACCUGGAAGGACAGGGCCCUGCUCUCACUCAGGAUCUGUGCAGUACCUGGCACACUGGGGUCCUGGUCUUGUUUGGAUCCUCGGGGCAACCCUGCAACAUAAAUAAUAACUGAUUUGCCUUUGGGAUUUGACCUGUUUUUUGACUCCUUGGAUCAUCAUUGCCUAAAAAUGACUCUUCCCUAAGCAAACCAAACCCAAUGUAAACGAACCCCGAACUGUUGUGACUCAGGGACCCGGCGCAUGAUUGCAUCCCAUAUGGACCAGAUUCUCCUGUGCAGCCAGGAGGCAGUGAAGCGUGGAGUCCAGGCUGUCAUUGACGCAAUGCUACAGGAGCACUGCAAGAGAGGGAAGAACCAGCAGAGGUUGAAGCUGUCCCGGCCCGUCAUCCUAGGUGCCAUUUCCAGCGUGGUGUCCAGCAGCACUAACAGCCAGUUCAGACGGGAAUGUCUGCAGAGUUUGCAGGUUUCAGAUACCCCAGAGCUAAUGGCAGCCAUUCAAACAGCCUUUGAAAAUGUCACUCGGAAGCGACUGAUGCCCAAUGGCACAUGCAGCAUCACAAAACAGGUACCUGAGGAUGUCAACCCAGCCUGGCUUGCUGCAUGUGACUUACCAACAGCUAGCCAGAAGCUAUCACAGGAAGAGGCAUCUGACAGCAUCAAUUCUGUCGAUUCAGAGCCGGCCUCUCUGCUGGACAGAGUUGACUUGUGGGGAGAAAUUAGUGAAACUAAGAGGAGGAAGACAGCAACCAUAGAGAACAAUGCAGGGCGACCACUUGUGGCUGCAAGAGAUUUCCAACCUUUCUGA